rnacentral:rRNA from 1 species
UACAGAGGUCUCAAGCGUUGUUCGGAUUCAUUGGGCGUAAAGGGUGCGUAGGUGGCGCCGUAAGUCAGGUGUGAAAUCUCGGGGCUCAACCCCGAAACUGCACUUGAUACUGCGGAGCUCGAGUACUGGAGAGGAGAUUGGAAUUUACGGUGUAGCAGUGAAAUGCGUAGAUAUCGUAAGGAAGACCAGUGGCGAAGGCGAAUCUCUGGACAGUUACUGACACUGAGGCACGAAGGCCAGGGGAGCAAACGGG